GACGAACGCUGGCGGCGUGCCUAAUACAUGCAAGUCGACCUUAGUGGCGACCGGGUGAGUCACACGUGGGUAACCUGCCCAUCAGAAGGGGAUAACCAUUGGAAACAGGGGCUAAUACCGUAUACUGAUGGAUGGACCCGCGGUGCAUUAGCUAGUUGGUGAGGUAACGGCUCACCAAGGCCCAGAUGCAUAGCCGACCCGAGAGGGGGAGCGGCCACCUUGGGACGGAUACACGGCCCAAACUCCUACGGGAGGCAGCAGUAGGGAAUCUUCGGCAAUGGACGAAAGUCUGACCGAGCAACGCCGCGUGAGUGAAGAAGGUUUUCGGAUCGUAAAACUCUGUUGUUAGAGAAGCGGUAUCUAACCAGAAAGCCACGGCUAACUACGUGCCAGCCGCCGCGGUAAUAC
rnacentral:rRNA from 1 species